GAUGAACGCUGGCGGCGUGCCUAAUACAUGCAAGUCGAGCGAACGGACGAGAAGCUUGCUUCUCUGAUGUUAGCGGCGGACGGGUGAGUAACACGUGGAUAACCUACCUAUAAGACUGGGAUAACUUCGGGAAACCGUAGCUAAUACCGGAUAAUAUUUUGAACCGCAUGGUUCAAAAGUGAAAGACGGUCUUGCUGUCACUUAUAGAUGGAUCCGCGCUGCAUUAGCUAGUUGGUAAGGUAACGGCUUACCAAGGCAACGAUGCAUAGCCGACCUGAGAGGGUGGUCGGCCACACUGGAACUGAGACCCGGUCCAGACUCCUACGGGAGGCAGCAGUAGGGAAUCUUUCGCAAUGGGCGAAAGCCUGACGGAGCAACGCCGCGUGAGUGAUGAAGGUCUUCGGAUCGUAAAACUCUGUUAUUAGGGAAGAACAUAUGUGUAAGUAACUGUGCACAUCUUGACGGUACCUAAUCAGAAAGCCACGGCUAACUACGUG
rnacentral:rRNA from 1 species